GCAAGUCGAACGAUAAGCCGGUGCUUGCACCGGUGGACAGUGGCGAACGGGUGAGUAACGCGUAGGCAAUCUGCCCUCAGCUGGGGAACAACCACGGGAAACCGUGGCUAAUACCGCAUAAUGUCGGGACGUCGCAUGGCGACCCGAUCAAAGCUUUAUGCGGCUGAGGAUGAGCCUGCGUUGGAUUAGCUAGUUGGCGGGGUAAUGGCCCACCAAGGCAACGAUCUAUAGCGGGUCUGAGAGGAUGAUC
rnacentral:rRNA from 1 species